rnacentral:lncRNA from 1 species
AGAAGUUGGAUUCAAAAUUGAGCAUUGCACACCAAACUUCGUCGUGAUCCGGAUCAGAGGUAUCGAAAGAAUCUGAAAAGGAAUAUGCUUUGAACCAUUGGAUGGUCACCGGUUUGUUUCAAAGCUUGAUCCAAAACCAUAAACAUGACUUUUGUAACAUUUGAUACGUAAGACUUGAUACGUGAGAAAUCGCAGUCUGACAAAUUCUCAUUUGCAAGGGUUCUUUAUGCUUCUGGUUUGUUUGUAUUCGCAACUACAUCGCAGUCUCGCUGGUUAGUUUUUCUGUCCAUUUUCUGGAAGUUCUUUAUGUUUGUCUCCUUCGUUCCAUUCUGGUGGCU